CAGUCGCCACGGGAAUACGGAGGGUGCAAGCGUUAAUCGGAAUUACUGGGCGUAAAGCGUGCGUAGGCGGUUCGUUAAGUCUGUUAUGAAAGCCCCGGGCUCAACCUGGGAAUGGCAAUGGAUACUGGCGAGCUAGAGUGUGUCAGAGGAUGGUGGAAUUCCCGGUGUAGCGGUGAAAUGCGUAGAGAUCGGGAGGAACAUCAGUGGCGAAGGCGGCCAUCUGGGACAACACUGACGCUGAGGCACGAAAGCGUGGGGAGCAAACAGGAUUAGAUACCCCCGUAGUCCCUGUCUCUUAUAC
rnacentral:rRNA from 1 species